rnacentral:lncRNA from 1 species
GGGUUUUUUUAUUUUAUUUUUUUAUAUAGAAAAACAAACACUUUGAACUUUUAAAUCUAUAUUUUAUCAUUCAAGUAUAUUUUAAAUUUUCAUGCCCACGUAUGGUUUAUUUGGUAAUAAUUGAGUCAUAGGGCAGUUCCUUUGAGGACCAUUUAUAAUUUAAGCUAGUCAGUCUAAAUUUCCAAUGGCUUGCAGUAAACAACCGAU